UAAAGUGUUUCAUACUUGAAUAACUGAUCUAAUUUAAUUAGAAUUACAAAUCAAUGAGCUACCAUCAGUUUGGUUUUAAUUAGAACAAAGCAAAACAUUGUAAUACUGGCUAAAAAAAGGUAAUGAAUUUAAACAGGUUUAUAUACGAGAGACCUCACAUUAAGAUUUUUUGAUUUUCUAAUCAAGAUUAGUAAUGACGGAGCUAAGGAGAAUACGAGUAGGCAUGAAUCUUUUUUAACUUUUCUACAUUAUAUUUUAGGAUAAUUUAAAAAAACUAAUAUAAAUAUGUGUAUAAAUUUAUAGGGAAAGGCGUCACUGCUCUACUUUUCUUUUCAACACUGGUGUUGUCUAUUUCUGGCCUUGCACGUGUACUUGUUGACUCUAGUUUAUAUAAAUGGAACGGUGGAACACGUUAUUAAUUGUACAACCUCCUACUCCAUAUCAUUCCUUUAAGAGUUGUUUUAUUUGGGAAAAAUUGUGGGGUCCCGAUUUUGAAGUUCCUAUUAAUCGAUGGGUUCAUUUAUAAAAGUAAAAAGAGGUAUUUUAUGGGUAAAGCAUCUGCCAAUUGUUUGGUGAGUUAUGUCUUCAAAAUCCCUCUCUAACCCUGGUUGUGGGUGGUGGUUUUGGAUCUGCCGAUUGUUUGGUGAGUUCUGUCUUGAGAAUCCCUCUCUAACCUUGGUUGUGGGUGGUGGUUUUGGAUCUCUCGAUUGUUUGGUGAGUUCUGUCUUGAGAAUCCCUCUCUAACCCUGGUUGUGGGUGGUGGUUUUGGAUCUCCCGAUUGUCUUCAAAAUCCCUCUCUAACCCUGGUUGUGGGUGGUGGUUUUGGAUCUCCCGACUUCCGAAUUCCGUUCAAACCUGUCGAUUGUUUGGUGAGUUCUGUCCUUAAUAAAUUUUUGUGGGUGGUGAUUAUAAAUAUACUGGGUUUUGGAUCUCCCGACUUCCAAAUUCCGUUCAAACCCGUCGAUUGUUUGGUGAGUUCUAUCCUUAAUAAAUUUUCUGGGUUUCGUAUAGUCAGUUAUGUCCUUAACGCUGACAAUCCAGGGCUUUUUUUCUAUCUUGUUAGUGUUUUAAGGUUAAAGGUGGGAUGCGACCUUCACUCUCGUUCCUCUACUUCUUAUUAAAUGUUACUGGGUUGGUUAUUUAUCUUUGUAUAAUAUGCUUGGGAUGUUUGUGUUAAUUUGUGACUUAUAACCGAUUGGAUCAUUCCUUUGGAGUGUGAGUGUUUAGUAAUUAAUAGUGGGUCUAUGUUAUUUUCCAUUGAAAUGAAUGGAUUUGUUUUGGGGACAACCUUGGUGUAUUCUAGUUGUAUUUGAUCAAAAUGUGAAAUCUCGUCAAAAACAUGUGUGUUAUAUUUUUGUCUUUUUGCAGGAAGGUAUUUUUUUUGCUGCAGGAAGGAAGGUAUGUAGUUUGGAUUGCGGUAGUAGUUUGGACUGGGUUGUGGUGUUGAUGUAUUGGAGAUGUAUCCAUUCAAUGUAAAGUUGAAGAAGAUUAGCAUCAUGUUGACUGUUUGUUUUUUGGGUCAUCAGUACUGUUAUUUUGGGGUUAUUAAAGAAUCAAUUUACCCUCGUUACCUUCUCAGAUGAAUUAAUUUGUAAUGGUUAGAUUGUAAAGAUGGUAAAUUGGGUUAGAUAUUUUGGUGUAUUAAUAUCUUAGUCUAGUUGCAUCAGGAUGUUGUUGACAGGGACAUGAGAGGGUCAUUGUCAUUGCUUCAUCUCCUAUUUAAACCAUAUGAAUUUUUGAGUUCUAUUAUGGGGUUUAUGUUUUUAAUGUGUAACCGAAUUGGUCGAUUUUGUACAAAAGUUAUUGUUAAUAGUAAGGCAGAUACAAUUCACCACUUUUUA